AGAGGGUGCAAGCGUUGUUCGGAAUUAUUGGGCGUAAAGGGCGCGUAGGCGGUCGUGUGCGUCGGAGGUGAAAUCCCCGGGCUUAACCCGGGAGCUGCCUCCGAUACGGCAUGGCUUGAGUCCGGGAGAGGGGAGCAGAAUUCCCAGUGUAGCGGUGAAAUGCGUAGAUAUUGGGAGGAAUACCGGUGGCGAAGGCGGCUCCCUGGACCGGUACUGACGCUGAGGCGCGAAAGCGUGGGUAGCAAACAGGAUUAGAUACCCUGGUAGUCCACGCCGUAAACGAUGGGUGCUUGGUGUCGGGGGUAUCGACCCCUCCGGUGCCGAAGCUAACGCAUUAAGCACCCCGCCUGGGGAGUACGGUCGCAAGGCUG
rnacentral:rRNA from 1 species